rnacentral:ncRNA from 2 species
AAGCAAUUCUUAGCGCUAGUUCCCCGGAGGUUUUGCCAAUCGGGGAGAACGAGGAGAAGGUUGUCGAGACGUCAGCGGAUGCCUUCCGGCCGUCCCAGUCGAGAGGGCCUGACGAAAGCGGGGGAGUGAUUCCCUGGGACAAAGUCAGGUUCGGGGACCUGU